AAUUACUCACUAAAAUAUUUCCCAAACAUUCAGCUCACCGUUACAGCAUGCAAAAUUAAGCAUGAUCACUAUUUCUGAAGCAGUUUUAUGAUAGCAUUUAAAGAAUAAAGCAUUAGCGAAGUCAGCUUGCGUUGUAGUAAUACCCAAUUCUCCUCCUCUCAGGACAAAAUAUAGUGUGUGAGAUGGGCAUCCAAAGCUCCAGCUAUGCUGUCAAUCUGCACUAGCAACAGAGCUGUGCUACCCAAGAGGAGAGGUUCUGCAGAAUAGAGCUAUCCCUACUUUCAGAGCUGGCUUAGCAGCUUAAGGGACCCAAAUGAAGAAUACGUGGAUAAUACUCACCAGAACUAAGUUAAUCUGAAUUUCUGUCUUCAAGGGAAAGUGAAUGUUUAGUUACCUGGUAAUGCUAGUGAAGAAAAAUAGGAGCUCUCAUAAAAUGUAACAUCCUAAAAAGAUGAACACGCUUUUCCCUGGAUUUAAAAGUUUGAAUUCGCUCCAAAGUCGUACUCCUUCUGUUGUGCUUUUGCGAACUUUCAAAAACAAGCAUUAAUAGUGAGCUGGAUCAGCACCUCAGGCAUCAGCUUGGAUGUGAAUCAGACUGUGUAAGUUCUGGACCUGAAAAGACUGUCAUCUGAACCACUAAACUAGAAACUGUUCCUUCUGGACUUUCCAUAUAAAGCAUUAAGGAAAAGAGGAUUCCAUGAAGUUAAUGCAGAUAAGACUGAUCCUUUCACAGGCUCGUCUCUACGGGAUGCAAACAGAGCUCUCUGGAGAUCUUAAGUAGAGCUGUCCCUCAUGGCAGUCCUGAAGGUGAGUUUUAUGGAGGCUGUUUUUCUUGCAGUUUGCAAAUGGCGCAUUGUUGCUUUUACACAAAACCUGUUCUGGAGCUGUGAAAAUGCCCUUAAG